GCACUUCUGAUGAGUCCCACAACGGGACAAAACGGCCGUCCAGUGC
rnacentral:hammerhead_ribozyme from 1 species